UGUUUGACGAGAGAGUCACAAGGAAUAAGCAGAUUGACUUCAAGGAAAUGGUCAAGCUUGCAUGCUUCAUAGUUGAGUUGAACGAACUCGAGUGCUUUGUAUCCUUGAUUGAACCUAAAACACUUCAUGAAGCACUGAAUGAUGAGUUUUGGACCGAGUCUAUGCAUCAAGAGCUUGAGCAGUUUGAUCGAUUACAAGUAUGGGAACUCGUUUCACGCCCUGACGGUGUCAACAUCAUUGGCACUAAAUGGAUUCACAAGAAUAAGACUGAUGAAAGUGGGAACGUUGUCAGAAACAAAUCCAGACUUGUGGGACAAGGCUACACACAAAUCAAAGGUGUGGACUUUGAUGAGACAUUUGCUCCGGUUGCACGACUAGAGUCGAUCAGACUAUUAUUCGGGAUGGCAUGCAAUCUGAAGAUCAAACUGUAUCAAAUGGAUGUGAAAAGUGCAUUCCUGAAUGGUGUGUUACAGGAAUAAGUCUAUGUCACACAGCCUAAGGGGUUCGAGGAUCCUCACUUCCCUGAUCAUGUCUACAAACUAAAGAAGGCACUGUAUGGGCUUAAACCGGCUCCCCAAGCAUGGUAUGACCGAUUGAAAGAGUUCCUGACUCAGGCUGGGUUUCAAAGAGGAGGAGUUGAUAAAACUUUGUUUAUUGGUGAGAAUGGAAGAGACAUACUUGUCGUCCAAGUCUAUGUUGAUGAUAUCAUAUUCGGAGGAACCUCUCAGUCCAUGGUUGAUGAGUUUGUAAGAACAAUGACCAAGGAGUUCGAAAUGAGUAUGGUGGGUGACCUAAGCUAUUUUCUUGGACUGCAAGUCAAGCAGCUUGAUGAUGGGAUCACGGUAUCACAAAGCACAUAUGCAAAAAAAUCUUAUUAAGAGAUUUGGGAUGCAGACGAGUAAGACAGCCAAUACUCCUAUGAGCACAACUACAAAGCUGUCACGAGAUGAUGAUGGGAAACCUGUCGAUGAGAAGCUCUAUAGAGCCAUAGGCAGUCUGCUAUACCUUACUCCGAGUCGACCUGAUCUAUGUCUGAGCGUAGGUAUUUGUGCUCGAUGACAAGCCUGUCCAAAGGAAUCACAUAUGAAUGCAGUUAAACGCAUUAUCAAAUAUGUAAAAGGUACGCUGGAUUUCGGUCUACAUUAUUCCUUUGAAACUAACGUGAAUUUUGCAGGUUUCUGUGAUGCUGACUGGGCAGGGUGCUUGGAUGACAGACAUAGCACAUCUGGUGGAUGUUUCUUCGUUGGAAACAACUUGGUAGCUUGGCAUAGCAAGAAGCAAAACUGUGUCUCUCUCUCAACCGCCAAGGCUGAGUAUAUCGCCCUAGGGAGUUGUUGCACUCAAUUACUAUGGAUGCGCCAAAUGCUCGUGGAUUAUGGUAUCAUAUACUACUAACAGGUUGAGAUCAUGUGGAUUUCAUGGACACCAUGAUGGAACUAUUCGAAAUUCAUAAACCUAUCAUGCUGGACAGUUGCAACUUCGGUCAUUGAUCAGAGGAAUUGAUGAGGAUGCGUGGACUGCAGUAGAAGAAGGUUGGUCUGUUCCUACAAUGAUGACCGAUGACAAAACCUUGGCCCCAAAGCCAAAAGAUAGGUGGACUGAUCAAGAGAAGGCAGCAUCGAAGUUCAACUCUAAAGCCCUCACUGCGAUCUUCCCUUCGGUGGAUCUGGACCAAUUCAAAAUAUUCAGGGCUGUGAGUCUGCUAUAGAGGCAUGGGAUAAUUUGACCAAUCACUUUGAAGGAAAUACUAGCAUGCGGAGAACAAGGAUCGAUCACUUAGCUUCAAAGUUUGAAAAUCUUCGCAUGACUGAUGAUGAACCAAUUGACUGAUUCAUUUCAAAGAUCAGUGAACUUGCUAGCGAAGCUUCAGUUCUUGAAAAGAAAUAUGAUGAGAGGGAUUUGGUGAAAAAGCUGUUAAGAUGUCUACCUCCACGAUUUGAAGCAUACAAGAUUGUAUUGGAUAUAGUCGUUAAUACUGAUGAGAUAAAUUUGAUCAAUUGUCUGGUAUCUUGAAGGUUCAUGAUCUGGAGAAAGCUAAUCGAACUGCAAUUUCUCAAAAGAGCAUCGCAUUUGUAGCUGACUCUAAAGAGCAGGAUCGAGUCAUAAAGAUCGAAGAGAACUUGGGACUAAUGGCUCGAAACUUCAACAAGUUCAUCAAGCGAAUGGAGAAAGGAGGAAAUCGAUCCAACUCACGAUUUCAGAGGAAUUACUCAGAUCGAAACAGCUCUCAAUACACUAGGCAAGACUCGAAGAACUCUAAGAAGAAGGAGUUGCAGUGCCAUGAGUGUGAAGGCUAUGGGCAUUUUCGCAAUGGGUGUCCGCUAGCUAAACGAAAAGAGCUGAAGUGCAUCGACUGCAAGGGCUUUGGUCACACUCGAAGUGAAUGUCCUAAUAAUUUGAAAAAGGACAAGUCACUCAUGUGUUUCAGUGAUACAGACUCAGAGAGUGACAGCGAUGGAGAUGAGCUACAUGUAAACUUUAUGGCACUUGUCUGUAAGGAAGAAGAACCAAAACUGGAUUCAGCCGUGGAAGAGGAUGGAGAUGAUCUCAACAACGAUCUUGAAACAAAAUACAAGUCUCUGUUCGACAAAUUUGCUGAACUCAGCCAUGAGAACCUGCAACUACUGAAAGAUAUAGUCAUGCUAAAAGCUCAGGUGAAUAUCUUGGAAUUGGAGAAACCCUCGAAUCAAGUUGCUGAAUUAUCAAUCCUAAAGAGAGCGAUGACAGAACAUGAGAGGGUGCAGAAGCAGGUUGAACUGAAGGUAAGUCAUAUGAAUGAUCUAAUAACCAAGGAGAUGGACAGGAGCAAAUUACUUGAAAAUCAACUCGCUGACAAUCUCAAGAGAGUAAGAAUGCUCACUACUGGUACUACAACUCUGGAUCAUCUUCUCACCAUUGGUCAGUGUCCCAGCAGCAGUUUAGGAUUAGGUUUUCAAUGCUCUACAUCCAAAUCUGCUGAAGAAACUGUAUUUGUGAAAGGAAGUUCGAAAGAAAAAGAAAUCCAAGUCUCGACAAAGGUUCAGACUGAUAAUCAGAAAAGUGGGAACCUGAAGAAGACUACUACUACGCAACGAGGAAAUGGAUGCCACUUCUGUGGAAAGCGUGUUCAUAACGUCAGAUUCUGCUACUUCUGGAAAAAUAAGUAUCAACGAGCCUGGAGAAUGAAUCUUUGUUUUAUGAAACCAUCCUUGUAUGGUCAUGUUUGGAUAGCUAAGUUGUACCCGAACUACAAGCAGAGAGUCUCGACUGUCGCACACAGUGAGAAGAAUGAAAUACGCACUGACGCAGAGCAACCUAUCAUUUGUAACCUUGCGAGCCUAUCCACUGAAACUGAGUUAGUGAGCAACAUCGCAUACACAAGUUCUGAUUCCAGCCCACAGUUUCAUACUCCCUGGUACUUUGACAGUGGCUGCUCAAAACAUAUGACGGGAAAUCAAGAUUUCUUUGAGAAGCUCGAGUUUAUCAAAGGAGGCAAAGUGACCUUCGGUGAUGGUGGUCAAGGAAAGAUACGAGGAGUGGGGGAACUGGAUAAGACAGUUUUACCUAGGCUCAUUAAUUUCUUCUAUGUGGAUGGUCUUAAGGCAAACCUCAUCAGUGUCAGCCAACUGUGUUAUGAGGGAUUAGAAGUUAUCUUCAACAUCAAAGUAUGUCGAGCUGUCGAUACUAAAGGAAAUGUGGUUCUAUGCGGUGUGCGAUCUGGAAACAACUGUUAUAUGUGGAAGCCAUCACAUUUGUGUUACUCGGCUAAAGAGUCUAAGUUGGAUCUGUGGCACAAGAGGCUCAGACAUAUGAAUACUAAUGGUCUUACCCGGCUGGUCAAUGCUGAGGUUGUCAGGGGAGUUCCAGAACUAGAGAAACAAACUGACACUGUGUGUGGAGGUUGUUGUCAGCGAAAACAGGUUAAAGUUCAAUACAAGGAGAUAUCUGAGAUCAGAUCCAAGGGGAUGCUGGAGCUGGUGCAUAUGGAUCUUAUGGGACCAAUCAUGCCAAACAACAUUGCGGGAAAAAGAUACAUCUUUGUUCUUGUAGAUGACUUUUCCAGAUACAUUUGGGUAAACUUCCUAAGGAACAAAUCUGACGCAUUGGAGAGUUUUUGCAUUCUGGCCCUGCAACUUAAACAGGAGAAGGGCGGCAUAGUGCAGAUCAAGAGUGAUCAUGGAGGGGAGUUUCAAAAUGAAGAAUUUGAUAAAUUCUGUCACAGUCAAGGAAUCCAACAUAAUUAUGCAGCUCCCAGAACUCCUCAACAGAAUGAAGUAGUGGAAAGGAAAAAUAGGACACUGCAGGAAUUGGCUAGAGCUAUGCUUUGUGGAAAUAGUGUACCAUCCGGUUUUUGGGCAGAGGCUAUGGCUAUUGCAUGUUAUGUUAUAAAUUGUGUGUAUGUCAAGCCUAACACAAAAACUACUCCAUAUGAAGUGUUCAAGGGAAAGACGCCAAACCUCAGUCAUAUGCAUGUCUUUGGUUGUCUAUGCUACAUCUUGAAUGAUAAAGAUCAUCUCGGGAAGUUUGAUGCAAAAAGUGAUGUUGGGAUGUUUCUAGGAUAUUGAACAAAUAGCUCAGCAUACAGAGUGUUCAAUCAACGUACAAAGUUCAUUGGAGAUAGUGUAAAUGUUGUGUUUGAUGAUAGUAUCGGAUUCUAUCAAGCACGAGUAACUCAGAAAAUUGAGUGUGUCACACAGCCGACUUCAUCAUCCUCUGAGGUAAAAAUCAAAGACGAGUUAGAAGGAGAGGAUGACCCGACCAGGGAACAGCGUGUUGAUCUGGAUCAAGCCAAAGUGCAUAAAAAUCAUUCGUCUGCUCCUGUGAUUGGUGGAGUGUUUGACGAGAGAGUCACAAGGAAUAAGCAGAUUGACUUCAAGGAAAUGGUCAAGCUUGCAUGCUUCAUAGUUGAGUUGAACGAACUCGAGUGCUUUGUAUCCUUGAUUAAACCUAAAACACUUCAUGAAGCACUGAAUGAUGAGUUUUGGACCGAGUCUAUGCAUCAAGAGCUUGAGCAGUUUGAUCGAUUACAAGUAUGGGAACUCGUUUCACGCCCUGACGGUGUCAACAUCAUUGGCACUAAAUGGAUUCACAAGAAUAAGACUGAUGAAAGUGGGAACGUUGUCAGAAACAAAUCCAGACUUGUGGGACAAGGCUACACACAAAUCAAAGGUGUGGACUUUGAUGAGACAUUUGCUCCGGUUGCACGACUAGAGUCGAUCAGACUAUUAUUCGGGAUGGCAUGCAAUCUGAAGAUCAAACUGUAUCA
rnacentral:lncRNA from 1 species